GGUUAAGCGACUAAGCGUACACGGUG
rnacentral:ncRNA from 5 species